AGUGAACGCUGGCGGUAGGCCUAACACAUGCAAGUCGAACGGCAGCACAGUAAGAGCUUGCUCUUACGGGUGGCGAGUGGCGGACGGGUGAGGAAUACAUCGGAAUCUACUUUUUCGUGGGGGCUAACGUAGGGAAACUUCCGCUAAUAAAGCAUACGACCUACGGGGGAAAGCAGGGGAUCUUCGGACCUUGCGCGGUUGAAUGAGCCGAUGUCGGAUUAGAUAGUUGGCGGGGUAAAGGCCUACCAAGGCGACGAUGCGUAGCUGGUCUGAGAGGAUGAUCAGCCACACGGGAACUGAGACACGGUCCAGACUCCUACGGGAGGCAGCAGUGGGGAAUAUUGCACAAUGGGCGCAAGCCUGAUCCAGCCAUACCGCGUGAGUGAAGAAGGCCUUCUGGUUGUAAAGCCCUGUUGUUGUGAAAGAAAAGCAGCAGGUUAAUCCCCCGCUGUUCUGACGGUACCCAAAGAAUAAGCACCGGCUAACUUCGUG
rnacentral:rRNA from 1 species